UUCCCAUCGAAAUCUUCAAAAUCUUCAAAGUUCUCUUCAAUUGGAUCUCGUUUCAAGUUACAACUUCAAUCUUUGAUGGAGACCUUAAAUUCAACAGAGCCUCAUUAUAUCAGAUGUGUGACAAACAAUGUUCUCAAGCCUGCUAUUUUUGAAAAUCUCAAUAUCAUCCAACAAUUGCGCUGUGGUGGUGUUCUUGAGGCAAUUAGAAUCAGCUGUGCUGGAUAUCCUACAAGAGGGACUUUUUAUGAGUUUCUUAACCAAUUUGGUGUUCUUGCCCCUGAAGUUCUAGAUGGAAAGUAAAUUA